AUACAGUGUCAGUUUAUGUUCAAAUCCUUGCAGAGGGAUUGGGCAGACAAUUGUUAAUCCUGAAUUUUGUUCAUGUUCCGGGGGCAGCUAUUUUCUCUGAGUUCAAGCACUAUAAACCCAAGAAGGGGUUUACAAGCACAAAAUGUUUUGCCUUCAUGGAAAUGGAUGAGAUCAAACCUGGUCCCAUUGUGAUCGAGUUGUACAAGAAGCCUACUGACUUCAAGAGGAAGAAGCUCCAGCUCCUGACCAAGAAGCCACUCUAUCUCCACCUCCACCAGACGUUGCACAAAGAUUAAUAACCGAGGUCACAGAGUAGAGCACAUCAAGAAAGCAGCAGCGCCACAGAAUUCCACUGUAGUCAUCAGACAUCCAGUAAAGUUUGGUGUAGCGACUCCCUAUCCGCCUCCACUCACAUCAACAAUACUAAACCCAGCAGGCCCAAAUGCCACAACCUCAACUCUGUGAUAGGACGGCCCUGGAUGACACAUAUUAACUACAGCGGUGACAGCACACUACUGUAUAAUGCUGCUUCGUAACCCAGUGGGAGGUGGGAAUUUACCAGUUGUGAAGUCGUAAAUACCAGUUGGAUGCAUUCAACUUGUUGAGAAAAGAUCAUUUGGCUAAUGGCCAACAAGCUGCCUAAACCAUAAACUAAAAGCUAUCAUGCUGGUAAACAAAUGAGUGUUAAAAAACAUAUUAAUAGAUUGCUUUUUAUAAAUAAUGUUUUGUUGCAUUUAAUUGCAAAAAAAUGCUGUUAUCCAGGUAAUUUCCUAAUUAGGUGACGUCAGAGGUCAGCAUGUGGGAGAAGUGGGAGCUCAGGAUGAUGUAUGAGUUUCCCACUAGUAAUUACCAGUUGGAGGGCCUUUCAAAUGGUAAAUUCCCACUUGGUUACAAAACGCAGUAUUUGACCCCUCUGGUGCCAAUUAGCGAUCACUUUUUUUCUCCUCUCUGCAUGAUGCUCAAUGGAAAAGAAGAGUUGAGUUAGCAAUUGGUACUGUAUGUCAAACAACCAGCCUCGUCUUUAGUCUUCCUCUGCCUUUCCCUUUGGGGAUGAAAGAGAAUCAACAUGAUCAUAGGUGCUCAAGCGGUCUAUUGAUGAUGUCAUAUCCUGGUGCUGACACUGCCACAGUGAAAAUAUAUAACUGCCCUGUUCAUUUACUUACAUCCUUAUCACUGAUCUGGCGUUAUUUAAUAGGUAAAAGUAAUAUAUUGGGAUAUUUGCUUUAAUCUAUCACAUUAGAUGUGUGAUUAUUUCAAGGAUGGGAGGAAGGAUGCAUAUUUUUUAGCAUUCAAAAAUGAUUCUGAGAUGCUAUGAUGUCAUCCUACAUUUACAUUUAAGUCAUUUAGCAGACGCUCUUAUCCAGAGCGACUUACAAAUUGGAAAGUUCAUACAUAUUCAUCCUGGUCCCCCCAUGGGAAUUGAACCCUGGUCCCCCGUGGGAAUUGAACCCACAACCCUGGCGUUGCAAGCGCCAUGCUCUACCAACUGAGCCACACGGGACCUACUUUGAAGAAUCUCAAAUAUAAAUUAUAUUUAGAUUUGAUUAACACUUGUUUGGUUACUACAUGAUUUCAUAGUUUAUGUCUUCACUAUUAUUCUACAACGUAGACAAUCAUCAAAACAAAGAAAAACCCUAGAAUGAGUAGGUGUGUCCCAACCCUUGACCGGUACUGCAUCUAUAGCAUGAGGUCAAGUUACAAUACCUAACAGUAGGUAAAACUUCAAACUAAAACUAGUUCAGAAGAAAAACAGCUUAUUUCAGCUGUAAUGAACGACAGGACUUAGGAACAUGCUUAAAUGUUUUAGAUCGUAUAUGUUAUGUUGACGUGAAGACCAUCUCUGAUAUAGACCGAUACAUACUAUUAUUAAAUAAACACCGCACCCAAGUCAAGUGUGUUUAGUAUCUUCAACAUGUUGGGGCAGCGUCUAAAAACGUUCAUUACUGCACACUGUAGCAAAACGUUAUGCAACGGAAAAACAGACGUUUCUUAUUGGACAAAUUCAGGUCAGUACCCUCCCUGUUUCGGUCCGUUUUCUUCGGUUUGGUGUCUAGUGAAUAAGACCCUGCUGUUGCUCCAAGCCAACACCAACCCAGGACAAGCUGGUAUCCUGGUUCUGUAAGAUGUGCCCCUGCAGUUCGGCUAAAAUCACUGUAAUAAUCUCCAUCCAUCCACAGGGAGACCGCCAGUCACUGUCCCCUACAGUACGUUAUGAAACAAACCAUAUGCGUUCUUAACUAGGAACAACUUUGUUUCUUCAGAGCAACGUAGCCUUUAGUCUUUAAAAUGUUGCUAAUGCUAGUUAGCAUGGUAGCGUUACAUUGGCUUACUGUAGUUUUUUGGUGUAGGUGCUCGUGCAGGUCCCGUUAUAAAGGGAGUUGAAAAGGAUGCUGCAUGUAACUGAAGUUGACUUUUACCUUUGUUUUGAAUGCUGUUCCCAUCAAGGCCACACUGGCUAACCACUAUUAAAACAUUGUCUCCUUUUUAUUAUUAUUUUUUUUUUUUGUAAUGGCACUAACUGAAUACACUUAUGGUGCUUUCAAGACAACUGGGAACUCUGAAAAGAAUUUGGUCAAAUCAUGACGUCAGUGAUCAUCGGGUCGAAAAGUCAGAGCUCUAGAAAGGUGCCAGAGUUCCCGACGUGGAAUUCCGAGUUGGAUGACUUAAAAGAUUUCUCCCAGUCGGAGCUUGUUUUUUUCAGAGUUCCCGGUUGUCUUGAACACACCGAAGUCGGAUAUUUCUGAGUUCCCAGUUGUUUUGAACACGGCAUUAAGAGACACUAAUCAGUGCAUAUUAUUGUGUGUGCUGUACGACAGGGUUGACGAUUGUCAAUACAGUGUUGUGCUUUUGGUAACAGGUUGUGAUAAAAUGAACAUUUAUCAUUGGACUGACAAUUUACACUGCUUUCAUUUUUAAUAAACAAAAUGCUGUUUGAA